CACGUAGGGUGCGAGCGUUUGUCCGGAAUUAUUGGGCGUAAAGAGCUCGUAGGCGGUGUGUCGCGUCGGCCGUGAAAACCUGCAGCUUAACUGUGGGCUUGCGGUCGAUACGGGCAUCACUGGAGUUCGGCAGGGGAGACUGGAAUUCCUGGUGUAGCGGUGAAAUGCGCAGAUAUCAGGAGGAACACCGGUGGCGAAAGCGGCUUAC
rnacentral:rRNA from 1 species